CACUCCUGCGGGAGGCAGCAGUGGGGAAUUUUGGACAAUGGGGGCAACCCUGAUCCAGCAAUGCCGCGUGAGUGAAGAAGGCCUUCGGGUUGUAAAGCUCUUUUGUCAGGGAAGAAACGGUGGUGGCGAAUAACUACUACUAAUGACGGUACCUGAAGAAUAAGCACCGGCUAACUACGUGCCAGCAGCCGCGGUAAUACGUAGGGUGCAAGCGUUAAUCGGAAUUACUGGGCGUAAAGCGUGCGCAGGCGGUUGUGUAAGUCAGAUGUGAAAUCCCCGGGCUCAACCUGGGAAUUGCAUUUGAGACUGCACGGCUAGAGUGUGUCAGAGGGGGGUAGAAUUCCACGUGUAGCAGUGAAAUGCGUAGAUAUGUGGAGGAAUACCGAUGGCGAAGGCAGCCCCCUGGGAUAACACUGACGCUCAUGCACGAAAGCGUGGGGAGCAAACAGGAUUAGAAACCCCAGUAGUCCCAUGA
rnacentral:rRNA from 1 species